rnacentral:misc_RNA from 1 species
ACAAACUUGGUCAUUUAGAGGAAGUAAAAGUCGUAACAAGGUUUCCGUAGGUAAGUUGAUAGAAGGUUUCAAUCUCUCUAUGCUUUGAAUAAUUUGCUGACUUUUUUCUUUUAGGUGAACCUGCGGAAGGAUCAUUACCGAGUGUAACCACCCCGUAAAAAGGGGGGUAACCUCCCGUCCUUUGCAGGCCCUUUCUAGGGGCUUUUGACUUUCUGCUUCGGCGGGUUUACCCCCGCCGGAACACCCUCAAAAUUCUGGUUAUAAAACCGUUCAGUCCGAGAACUUUUUUAAAAUUAUGAAAAACUUUCAACAACGGAUCUCUUGGUUCUGGCAUCGAUGAAGAACGCAGC